rnacentral:rRNA from 1 species
UACGAAGGGGGCUAGCGUUGCUCGGAAUUACUGGGCGCAAAGCGCACGUAGGCGGAUUGUUAAGUCGGGGGUGAAAUCCUGGAGCUCAACUCCAGAACUGCCUUCGAUACUGGCGAUCUCGAGUUCGGGAGAGGUGAGUGGAACUGCGAGUGUAGAGGUGAAAUUCGUAGAUAUUCGCAAGAACACCAGUGGCGAAGGCGGCUCACUGGCCCGAUACUGACGCUGAGGUGCGAAAGCGUGGGGAGCAAACAGG